AUUGAACGCUGGCGGCAGGCCUAACACAUGCAAGUCGAGCGAGCGGCGGACGGGGGAGUAAUGUCUGGGAAAAUGCCUGAUGGAGGGGGAGAACAACUGGAAACGGUAGCUAAUACCGCUUACCAUCAGAUGUGCCCAGAUGGGAUUAGCGAGUAGGUGGGGUAACGGCGCACCUAGGCGACGAUCCCUCGCUGGUCUGAGAGGGUGACCAGCCCCACUGGAACGGAGCAACGGUACAGACUCCUACGGAAGGCAGCAGUGGGGAAUAGUGCACAAUGGGCGCAAGCCUGAUGCAGCCAUGCCACGUGUGUGAAGAAGGCCUUCGGGUUGUAAAGCACUUUCAGCGGGGAGGCGUUACCCGCAGAAGAAGCACCGGCUAACUCCGUGCCAGCCGCCGCGGUAAUAC
rnacentral:rRNA from 1 species